rnacentral:rRNA from 1 species
ACUAUCGUUAACUGAAUACAUAGGUUAACGAGGCGAACCGGGGGAACUGAAACAUCUAAGUACCCCGAGGAAAAGAAAUCAACCGAGAUUCCCCCAGUAGCGGCGAGCGAACGGGGAGCAGCCCAGAGUCUGAAUCAGCUUGUGUGUUAGUGGAACGGUCUGGAAAGUCCGACGGUACAGGGUGAUAGUCCCGUACACCAAAAUGCACAGGCUGUGAACUCGAAGAGUAGGGCGGGACACGUGGUAUCCUGUCUGAAUAUGGGGGGACCAUCCUCCAAGGCUAAAUACUCCUGACUGACCGAUAGUGAACCAGUACCGUGAGGGAAAGGCGAAAAGAACCCCGGCGAGGGGAGUGAAAAAGAACCUGAAACCGUGUACGUACAAGCAGUGGGAGCACCUUCGGGUGUGACUGCGUACCUUUUGUAUAAUGGGUCAGCGACUUAUAUUCUGUAGCAAGGUUAACCGUAUAGGGGAGCCGCAGGGAAACCGAGUCUUAACUGGGCGUUAAGUUGCAGGGUAUAGACCCGAAACCCGGUGAUCUAGCCAUGGGCAGGUUGAAGGUUGGGUAACACUAACUGGAGGACCGAACCGACUAAUGUUGAAAAAUUAGCGGAUGACUUGUGGCUGGGGGUGAAAGGCCAAUCAAACCGGGAGAUAGCUGGUUCUCCCCGAAAGCUAUUUAGGUAGCGCCUCGUGAACUCAUCUUCGGGGGUAGAGCACUGUUUCGGCUAGGGGGUCAUCCCGACUUACCAACCCGAUGCAAACUACGAAUACCGAAGAAUGUUAUCACGGGAGACACACGGCGGGUGCUAACGUCCGUCGUGAAGAGGGAAACAACCCAGACCGCCAGCUAAGGUCCCAAAGUCAUGGUUAAGUGGGAAACGAUGUGGGAAGGCACAGACAGCCAGGAUGUUGGCUUAGAAGCAGCCAUCAUUUAAAGAAAGCGUAAUAGCUCACUGGUCGAGUCGGCCUGCGCGGAAGAUGUAACGGGGCUAAACCAUGCACCGAAGCUGCGGCAGCGACACUAUGUGUUGUUGGGUAGGGGAGCGUUCUGUAAGCCUGCGAAGGUGUGCUGUGAGGCAUGCUGGAGGUAUCAGAAGUGCGAAUGCUGACAUAAGUAACGAUAAAGCGGGUGAAAAGCCCGCUCGCCGGAAGACCAAGGGUUCCUGUCCAACGUUAAUCGGGGCAGGGUGAGUCGACCCCUAAGGCGAGGCCGAAAGGCGUAGUCGAUGGGAAACAGGUUAAUAUUCCUGUACUUGGUGUUACUGCGAAGGGGGGACGGAGAAGGCUAUGUUAGCCGGGCGACGGUUGUCCCGGUUUAAGCAUGUAGGCUGAUUGUCCAGGCAAAUCCGGAUAAUCAAGGCUGAGGUGUGAUGACGAGGCACUACGGUGCUGAAGUAACAAAUGCCCUGCUUCCAGGAAAAGCCUCUAAGCAUCAGGUAACAUUAAAUCGUACCCCAAACCGACACAGGUGGUCAGGUAGAGAAUACCAAGGCGCUUGAGAGAACUCGGGUGAAGGAACUAGGCAAAAUGGUGCCGUAACUUCGGGAGAAGGCACGCUGGUGUGUAGGUGAAGUCCCUGCGGAUGGAGCUGAGACCAGUCGAAGAUACCAGCUGGCUGCAACUGUUUAUUAAAAACACAGCACUGUGCAAACACGAAAGUGGACGUAUACGGUGUGACGCCUGCCCGGUGCCGGAAGGUUAAUUGAUGGGGUUAUCCGUAAGGAGAAGCUCUUGAUCGAAGCCCCGGUAAACGGCGGCCGUAACUAUAACGGUCCUAAGGUAGCGAAAUUCCUUGUCGGGUAAGUUCCGACCUGCACGAAUGGCGUAAUGAUGGCCAGGCUGUCUCCACCCGAGACUCAGUGAAAUUGAACUCGCUGUGAAGAUGCAGUGUACCCGCGGCAAGACGGAAAGACCCCGUGAACCUUUACUAUAGCUUGACACUGAACAUUGAGCCUUGAUGUGUAGGAUAGGUGGGAGGCUUUGAAGCGUGGACGCCAGUCUGCGUGGAGCCAACCUUGAAAUACCACCCUUUAAUGUUUGAUGUUCUAACGUUGGCCCCUGACCGGGGUUGCGGACAGUGUCUGGUGGGUAGUUUGACUGGGGCGGUCUCCUCCCAAAGCGUAACGGAGGAGCACGAAGGUUAGCUAAUCCUGGUCGGACAUCAGGAGGUUAGUGCAAUGGCAUAAGCUAGCUUGACUGCGAGCGUGACGGCGCGAGCAGGUGCGAAAGCAGGUCAUAGUGAUCCGGUGGUUCUGAAUGGAAGGGCCAUCGCUCAACGGAUAAAAGGUACUCCGGGGAUAACAGGCUGAUACCGCCCAAGAGUUCAUAUCGACGGCGGUGUUUGGCACCUCGAUGUCGGCUCAUCACAUCCUGGGGCUGAAGUAGGUCCCAAGGGUAUGGCUGUUCGCCAUUUAAAGUGGUACGCGAGCUGGGUUUAGAACGUCGUGAGACAGUUCGGUCCCUAUCUGCCGUGGGCGCUGGAGAAUUGAGGGGGGCUGCUCCUAGUACGAGAGGACCGGAGUGGACGCAUCACUGGUGUUCGGGUUGUCAUGCCAAUGGCACUGCCCGGUAGCUAAAUGCGGAAGAGAUAAGUGCUGAAAGCAUCUAAGCACGAAACUUGCCCCGAGAUGAGUUCU